AGUGAACGCUGGCGGUAGGCCUAACACAUGCAAGUCGAACGGCAGCACAGUAAGAGCUUGCUCUUACGGGUGGCGAGUGGCGGACGGGUGAGGAAUACAUCGGAAUCUACUUUUUCGUGGGGGAUAACGUAGGGAAACUUACGCUAAUACCGCAUACGUCCUACGGGUGAAAGCAGUGGAUCUUCGGACCUUGCGCGAUUGAAUGAGCCGAUGUCGGAUUAGCUAGUUGGCGGGGUAAAGGCCCACCAAGGCGACGAUCCGUAGCUGGUCUGAGAGGAUGAUCAGCCACACUGGAACUGAGACACGGUCCAGACUCCUACGGGAGGCAGCAGUGGGGAAUAUUGGACAAUGGGCGCAAGCCUGAUCCAGCCAUACCGCGUGGGUGAAGAAGGCCUUCGGGUUGUAAAGCCCUUUUGUUGGGAAAGAAAAGAAGCAGGUUAAUACCCCGCUGUUCUGACGGUACCCAAAGAAUAAGCACCGGCUAACUUCGUG
rnacentral:rRNA from 1 species